CUUCCAGUGGGCGUCUGUCAAAUGCUCCAAAGGUCCCUGAUACUACGUAGAUUCGGCACAGGCUGAACUCAUACCUCAACUGCAUUUUCAGAAAUGAAGCGCCAAAAUAUUGGGUAAGCAAAGUUCCUCUAUCAGAAAUAAUAAUUGGUAAGAACACAGAUUAAAAGAAAAACCGUACCCGAGGGAUGGGCGGACUAGAUGACUCCGAAAGCCCUCCAUCUAUAGCCCUGUACUCAUUCAUCUUCCAUUUGGUUUUCCUUCCAGCUGGAGCUUUCCCCUUGUAGAACACCAUAGUCUUCUUGACUCCAAUCACUCUAUUAUUAGAGGAGUAGACGUAGCUCGUGGAACCAGUGGCCUUCCAGUACCCCGAUCCGGUAGUUCGAUUCG
rnacentral:lncRNA from 1 species